UACAUGACAAGAACCCAAGGCCAACUGGUUCAGCCUUGUCUUACACAUUAAAUCAAAUAAGAAGAAGAGGUAGCUCUGCACCUUUAGCAUUAACCAACUAACUGGCAUCAAAUCCUUAAAUGAAUGAAAAUGUGGAAAAGAGCAGCUACUGUGAUAGUGGUGAUUCUUGCAUCACAUUAUGGCAUGGUUCAAUCAACUACAACUAGAGCAACUCAAUCAACAACAUGUGAGUGUGUGUGCGCUCCAGGUACAAGCCUCGCAACAGUUAUGACCAGUGCUCCAACACCACUCAUAACUGAAGCAACACAAUCAACCAAAACAGAAUCAACACAAUCAACUACAACUACAACUGCACAAUCAACCAUAACUGGAGC